rnacentral:rRNA from 1 species
GACGAACGCUGGCGGCGUGCUUAACACAUGCAAGUCGAACGGAAAGGCCCUGCUUUUGUGGGGUGCUCGAGUGGCGAACGGGUGAGUAACACGUGAGUAACCUGCCCUUGACUUUGUGAUAACUUCAGGAAACUGGGGCUAAUACCGGAUAGGAGCUCCUGCUGCAUGGUGGGGGUUGGAAAGUUUCGGCGGUUGGGGAUGGACUCGCGGCUUAUCAGCUUGUUGGUGGGGUAGUGGCUUACCAAGGCUUUGACGGGUAGCCGGCCUGAGAGGGUGACCGGCCACAUUGGGACUGAGAUACGGACCAGACUCCUACGGGAGGCAGCAGUGGGGAGUAUUGCACAAUGGGCGGAAGCCUGAUGCAGCAACGCCGCGUGCGGGAUGACAGCCUUCGGGUUGUAAACCGCUUUCGCCUGUGACGAAGCGUGAGUGACGGUAAUGGGUAAAGAAGCACCGGCUAACUACGUG